GAGUUUGAUCUUGGCUCAGAUUGAACGCUGGCGGCAGGCCUAACACAUGCAAGUCGAGCGGUAGAGAGAAGCUUGCUUCUCUUGAGAGCGGCGGACGGGUGAGUAAUGCCUAGGAAUCUGCCUGGUAGUGGGGGAUAACGCUCGGAAACGGACGCUAAUACCGCAUACGUCCUACGGGAGAAAGCAGGGGACCUUCGGGGCCUUGCGCUAUCAGAUGAGCCUAGGUCGGAUUAGCUAGUUGGCGAGGUAAUGGCUCACCAAGGCGACGAUCCGUAACUGGUCUGAGAGGAUGAUCAGUCACACUGGAACUGAGACACGGUCCAGACUCCUACGGGAGGCAGCAGUGGGGAAUAUUGGACAAUGGGCGAAAGCCUGAUCCAGCCAUGCCGCGUGUGUGAAGAAGGUCUUCGGAUUGUAAAGCACUUUAAGUUGGGAGGAAGGGCAGUAAAUUAAUACUUUGCUGUUUUGACGUUACGACAGAAUAAGCACCGGCUAACUCU
rnacentral:rRNA from 1 species